UACGUGAGGGUGCGAGCGUUAAUCGGAAUUACUGGGCGUAAAGCGUGCGCAGGCGGUUCGUUGUGUCUGUGGUGAAAGCCCCGGGCUUAACCUGGGAAUGGCCUGGAACUGGCGAGCUGGAGUGGUGGCAGAGGGGGUGGGAAUUCCGCGUGUAGCAGUGAAAUGCGUAGAGAUGCGGAGGAACACCGAUGGCGGAAGGCAGCCCCUGGGCUAACACUGACGCUCAGGCACGAAAGCGUGGGGAGCAAACAGG
rnacentral:rRNA from 1 species